rnacentral:tRNA from 1 species
CUCUGCCUGGACAAAUGGCGGUCCCCCUCUGUCAUAGGGGUUGAGCGUACUCCCGGCAACGAUCUUCUUUGGAUAGAGC